CCUCUGAUUUUUCAUUUGAGUAACUACAAAAACAACCAAAAGGAAACAUCCAUUGUUAAGGAAAACUACUGAAGCAUUUUGAGAAGUCAGAAAAUGUAAAAAGCACUUGCAAGUCACAGCAAUGUUUUGUUGCCAGAAAUGUAUAGGACAAGAGGAAUAGAAUAAAACAAAAUACGAACAUAAUUUUGUAUGAUUGGACCUAAAUCACAACAGUGAAGUAUGUUAAAACUAAACAAUGUACAAAUAUUAACCACAAAGAGGUCUAAUUGCUGGCACAGGAGACUUGAAAUUGUUAAUUCCUUUUUCCUGGGAUGUGUAUGCACGUUAAUUAUAUAAGAAACUUACGUAGAGAGUAUGGUAACCCAGAUGAGUUCCACACAGUCCACCCAAAGAAGCCUCUCUUCAACGGGGAUAAGACCAUAA
rnacentral:misc_RNA from 1 species